rnacentral:rRNA from 1 species
GUGCCAGCCGCCGCGGUAAUACGGAGGGUGCGAGCGUUAAUCGGAAUAACUGGGCGUAAAGGGCAUGCAGGCGGGUCAUUAAGUUAGGUGUGAAAUCCCCGGGCUCAACCUGGGAACUGCACUUAAAACUGGUGGUCUGGAGUAUUGUAGAGGAAGGUAGAAUUCCACGUGUAGCGGUGAAAUGCGUAGAGAUGUGGAGGAAUACCUGUGGCGAAAGCGGCCUCCUAGACGAAUACUGACGCUGAGGUGCGAAAGCGUGGGGAGCAAACAGGAUUAGAAACCCUAGUAGUCC